GACGAACGCUGGCGGCGUGCUUAACACAUGCAAGUCGAGCGAGGCCCCUCCUUCGGGAGGGUGUCCUAGCGGCGAACGGGUGAGUAACACGUGGGCAACCUGCCCUCAGCUCCGGGAUAACUCCAAGAAAUUGGGGCUAAUACCGGAUAUGACCGCUGACCGCAUGGUCUGGUGGUGGAAAGAUUUAUCGGCUGGGGAUGGGCCCGCGGCCUAUCAGCUUGUUGGUGGGGUAGUGGCCUACCAAGGCGCCGACGGGUAGCCGGCCUGAGAGGGUGACCGGCCACACUGGGACUGAGACACGGCCCAGACUCCUACGGGAGGCAGCAGUGGGGAAUAUUGCGCAAUGGGCGGAAGCCUGACGCAGCGACGCCGCGUGGGGGAUGACGGCCUUCGGGUUGUAAACCUCUUUCAGCAGGGACGAAGCGAAAGUGACGGUACCUGCAGAAGAAGCACCGGCCAACUACGUGCCAGCCGCCGCAGUAACAC
rnacentral:rRNA from 1 species